rnacentral:rRNA from 1 species
GGCGCACGGGUGCGUAACGCGUGAGCAACCUACCCAUAUCAGGGGGAUAGCCUCUCGAAAGAGAGAUUAACACCGCAUAACAUCAUUUACCGGCAUCGGUUUUUGAUCAAAUAUUUAUAGGAUAUGGAUGGGCUCGCGUGACAUUAGCUAGUUGGAGAGGUAACGGCUCACCAAGGCUACGAUGUCUAGGGGCUCUGAGAGGAGAAUCCCCCACACUGGUACUGAGACACGGACCAGACUCCUACGGGAGGCAGCAGUAAGGAAUAUUGGUCAAUGGAGGCAACUCUGAACCAGCCAUGCCGCGUGCAGGAUGACUGCCCUAUGGGUUGUAAACUGCUUUUGUCAGGGAAUAAACCUUUCUACGUGUAGAAAGCUGAAUGUACCUGAAGAAUAAGGAUCGGCUAACUCCGUGCCAGCAGCCGCGGUAAUACGGAGGAUCCAAGCGUUAUCCGGAUUUAUUGGGUUUAAAGGGUGCGUAGGCGGUCCUAUAAGUCAGUGGUGAAAGACGGCAGCUUAACUGUCGCAGUGCCUUUGAUACUGUAGGACUUGAAUCUAUUUGAAGUGGGCGGAAUAAGACAAGUAGCGGGUGAAAUGCAUUAGAUAUGUCCUUACAACUCCCAAUUGCGGAAGGCCAGCU